rnacentral:lncRNA from 1 species
GGAGGGAGCUGGGAACAUUGCUGCUGCCACUGGUUUUGUCAAGAAGGACCAGAUGGGCAAGGGCUAUCCCAUGGGAGAGUGCACAAACCAUCCGCCCAGACUCAUUGCUCUUCGAGUCAAGAGUCGUUACAGAGAGCACAGCUGGAGACCCAGAAAACAGCUUUCCCUGGCAUGUGUGGUUAUGGAUCCUUUCUUACCUACUUAGAAGACAUUACCGUACUUACGGAGCCUGUAAAGAGAGACUAAGAUACUUCCUGAUGUUUCAAAGCGUUUAGAUUGUACAGAUUAUAAAAACUGGAGGAGGAAACGAUGCCAUCCCACUUCACCUUAGUUUACCAGUUGUUCUUGUUACAUUAAAUGGAACAUUUUUCAAACGCU